GGUUAAGCGACUAAGCGUACACGGUGGAUGCCCUGGCAGUCAGAGGCGAUGAAGGACGUGCUAAUCUGCGAUAAGCGUCGGUGAGGUGAUAUGAACCGUUAUAACCGGCGAUUUCCGAAUGGGGAAACCCAGUGUGUUUCGACACACUAUCAUUAACUGAAUCCAUAGGUUAAUGAGGCGAACCGGGGGAACUGAAACAUCUAAGUACCCCGAGGAAAAGAAAUCAACCGAGAUUCCCCCAGUAGCGGCGAGCGAACGGGGAGGAGCCCAGAGCCUGAAUCAGUGUGUGUGUUAGUGGAAGCGUCUGGAAAGGCGCGCGAUACAGGGUGACAGCCCCGUACACAAAAAUGCACAUAUUGUGAGCUCGAUGAGUAGGGCGGGACACGUGGUAUCCUGUCUGAAUAUGGGGGGACCAUCCUCCAAGGCUAAAUACUCCUGACUGACCGAUAGUGAACCAGUACCGUGAGGGAAAGGCGAAAAGAACCCCGGCGAGGGGAGUGAAAAAGAACCUGAAACCGUGUACGUACAAGCAGUGGGAGCCUCUUAAUGGGGUGACUGCGUACCUUUUGUAUAAUGGGUCAGCGACUUAUAUUCUGUAGCAAGGUUAACCGAAUAGGGGAGCCGAAGGGAAACCGAGUCUUAACUGGGCGUUAAGUUGCAGGGUAUAGACCCGAAACCCGGUGAUCUAGCCAUGGGCAGGUUGAAGGUUGGGUAACACUAACUGGAGGACCGAACCGACUAAUGUUGAAAAAUUAGCGGAUGACUUGUGGCUGGGGGUGAAAGGCCAAUCAAACCGGGAGAUAGCUGGUUCUCCCCGAAAGCUAUUUAGGUAGCGCCUCGUGAAUUCAUCUCCGGGGGUAGAGCACUGUUUCGGCAAGGGGGUCAUCCCGACUUACCAACCCGAUGCAAACUGCGAAUACCGGAGAAUGUUAUCACGGGAGACACACGGCGGGUGCUAACGUCCGUCGUGAAGAGGGAAACAACCCAGACCGCCAGCUAAGGUCCCAAAGUCAUGGUUAAGUGGGAAACGAUGUGGGAAGGCCCAGACAGCCAGGAUGUUGGCUUAGAAGCAGCCAUCAUUUAAAGAAAGCGUAAUAGCUCACUGGUCGAGUCGGCCUGCGCGGAAGAUGUAACGGGGCUAAACCAUGCACCGAAGCUGCGGCAGCGACACUAUGUGUUGUUGGGUAGGGGAGCGUUCUGUAAGCCUGUGAAGGUGGCCUGUGAGGGUUGCUGGAGGUAUCAGAAGUGCGAAUGCUGACAUAAGUAACGAUAAAGCGGGUGAAAAGCCCGCUCGCCGGAAGACCAAGGGUUCCUGUCCAACGUUAAUCGGGGCAGGGUGAGUCGACCCCUAAGGCGAGGCCGAAAGGCGUAGUCGAUGGGAAACAGGUUAAUAUUCCUGUACUUGGUGUUACUGCGAAGGGGGGACGGAGAAGGCUAUGUUGGCCGGGCGACGGUUGUCCCGGUUUAAGCGUGUAGGCUGGUUUUCCAGGCAAAUCCGGAAAACCAAGGCUGAGGCGUGAUGACGAG
rnacentral:rRNA from 1 species